CGGCUGAGCCAGCUUCCUCGGGGACACACCGGAGCCCCGUGGGGGCUUUGCUACCCGGUGACCCCGGGAAAAGGUGAAUGUUCUCAUCCAUAAAGUGGGAGUGAACUGGGAGCGCCAGGAGCCCCGGUGAGGACCACGCAGUCCCGGACGGGCCUCCUUGUGUGUUUGGUGGCCCGCAUGGUGCCUGCUGAGUCGGGGGGGGGGGGGGGGUGCGGUCUGGGGCGGCGAGCCAGGCGGGCUGGUGUCCGGGAGGCGUGGCAGUUCCGAUGGGCCCCUGGCACUGGCCGCUUGCGCGCAGGGCUCGCUUGGAGACUCACUGCCGAGCGCCCUUCUGUUCAAGCCAGGCCCAGGCUGACCAGCGCUCUACCCAGUGAGCUGCCCUUUGGGAAAUGGGGUCUGAGGCCAAGUGACAAGCCCUCGGUCAAGGCGUGUAGCACGAGUGUAGCUCGGAUAUGGGCCACCUGCCUCUCCUGUCCCAACGCAGCUCUGGGAGGGUCUCCACCGAGCCCUGCUCUGCAACCGCAGACUUCUGCUCUCUCUCAGCCCCAUUUGCUGCCUCCCCCCUGCUGGCUCAUCCCCAUUUCCUCCCCCUCCCCGACUCACCUCUGCACCGGGCGCCCUGCCCUGCGUCCAGUGCUCUGCAGGGCUGCUCCUGGUGCGCCCCUCCAGCAGACUGUCACUUGAAGGUGACAAGAAGGUGACAGCAGCAGAGCCAGCUUGAGCACAAUCGCUCCGCACACUGACCCUCAGGAUCAGGAUGCGGGAAAUGGUGUAGACAGUGAUAGACGGACGUUCCCGCCGGGGAAGCCACUCUUCUGCUUCUCCCAUCUCCUGGGGUCCGUCUUUUGUAAGCCACGUGGAGGCCGGCUGUUUGCUGAGGUGACUGGAGGGCCCCCGGCAACGCCACACCCCGCGUUCCAUUUCAAGCCGCCACACCUUCGUCCUGCUCUGGAAAGUUGGCGCGUGGAUCGCCGUGUAGGUUCAGGGCUGACCUACAGGAACAGCGGCACGUUGGUUCUCAUUAACAGCCCUCACAUCGGUCCGGUGCCUUACAGAUGAUCAGAGAUUCCACGUAUUUCGUCCAUCCGUUAACUGAUGUGGUUUGCUGCCGAGCCAUGACUCAAGAAGGGGCUGACCCUGCAUGGGAUUGUUGGGGGAUUAGAGGCAUGUCCUAAACCACCACUGUGCUGUCGUUGCUGGAAGCACAUCCCUGAGCCUUCCGGGGGAUCGAUCCCUUUGCAACAGUAGCUCCCACUGAGUGAGAUGGUUGGGGAGUGGGCGUCUUUGGUUAAACGGGCAUUUUGGGUAACUGCGAGCUCUUAACGUCUACCAUUCAUGGAGUAUGCGUUUCCAAAGAAUUAAAACGCAGACGGUG